GCCAGUGUAGUGUAGUGGUUUCAGCCUUGGACUAUGACUCUGGAGACCACAGUUCAAAUCCCUGCUCAGCCA